rnacentral:rRNA from 1 species
GUCGCAAGACCAAAGAGGGGGACCUUCGGGCCUCUUGCCAUCAGAUGUGCCCAGAUGGGAUUAGCUUGUUGGUGAGGUAACGGCUCACCAAGGCGACGAUCCCUAGCUGGUCUGAGAGGAUGACCAGCCACACUGGAACUGAGACACGGUCCAGACUCCUACGGGAGGCAGCAGUGGGGAAUAUUGCACAAUGGGCGCAAGCCUGAUGCAGCCAUGCCGCGUGUAUGAAGAAGGCCUUCGGGUUGUAAAGUACUUUCAGCGGGGAGGAAGGUGUUGUGGUUAAUAACCGCAGCAAUUGACGUUACCCGCAGAAGAAGCACCGGCUAACUCCGUGCCAGCAGCCGCGGUAAUACGGAGGGUGCAAGCGUUAAUCGGAAUUACUGGGCGUAAAGCGCACGCAGGCGGUCUGUCAAGUCGGAUGUGAAAUCCCCGGGCUCAACCUGGGAACUGCAUUCGAAACUGGCAGGCUUGAGUCUUGUAGAGGGGGGUAGAAUUCCAGGUGUAGCGGUGAAAUGCGUAGAGAUCUGGAGGAAUACCGGUGGCGAAGGCGGCCCCCUGGACAAAGACUGACGCUCAGGUGCGAAAGCGUGGGGAGCAAACAGGAUUAGAUACCCUGGUAGUCCACGCCGUAAACGAUGUCUACUUGGAGGUUGUGCCCUUGAGGCGUGGCUUCCGGAGCUAACGCGUUAAGUAGACCGCCUGGGGAGUACGGCCGCAAGGUUAAAACUCAAAUGAAUUGACGGGGGCCCGCACAAGCGGUGGAGCAUGUGGUUUAAUUCGAUGCAACGCGAAGAACCUUACCUGGUCUUGACAUCCACGGAAGUUUUCAGAGAUGGAUUGGUGCCUUCGGGAACCGUGAGACAGGUGCUGCAUGGCUGUCGUCAGCUCGUGUUGUGAAAUGUUGGGUUAAGUCCCGCAACGAGCGCAACCCUUAUCCUUUGUUGCCAGCGGUCCGGCCGGGAACUCAAAGGAGACUGCCAGUGAUAAACUGGAGGAAGGUGGGGAUGACGUCAAGUCAUCAUGGCCCUUACGACCAGGGCUACACACGUGCUACAAUGGCGCAUACAAAGAGAAGCGACCUCGCGAGAGCAAGCGGACCUCAUAAAGUGCGUCGUAGUCCGGAUUGGAGUCUGCAACUCGACUCCAUGAAGUCGGAAUCGCUAGUAAUCGUGGAUCAGAAUGCCACGGUGAAUACGUUCCCGGGCCUUGUACACACCGCCCGUCACACCAUGGGAGUGGGUUGCAAAAGAAGUAGGUAGCUUAACCUUCGGGAGGGCGCUUACCACUUUGUGAUUCAUGACUGGGGUGAAGUCGUAACAAGGUAACCGUAGGGGAACCUGCGGUUGGAUCACCUCCUUACCUUAAAGAAGC